rnacentral:lncRNA from 10 species
AGGAAACAGGCAGAGAGACCGCUGAAGUGAACCGGGGCUUGCCAGGGGUGGGCGGCAGCCGAGGCGGCCAGAAAAGAACUUUGAAGGAAGAAAGGAAAUUGUGCUAAGACGUCCUUCUAUGGCCGCUUCAGGCACUUCUUGGAUAUCAUCGACCCUCGCACACUCUUUGUCACUGAGGCUGGAGUGCAGUGGCGUGAUCUCAGCUCACUGCAACCUCUACCUCCCAGGUUCAAGCGAUUUUCCUGCCUCAGCCUCCUGAGUAGCUGGGAUUACAGAGACGUCUCAGAGAGGCUGUGCAGCUGCUGGAGGACUAUAAGCAUGGGACCCUGCGCCCGGGGGUCACCAAUGAACAGCUCUGGAGUGCACAGAAAAUCAAGCAGGCUAUUCUACAUCCGGACACCAAUGAGAAGAUCUUCAUGCCA